GACGUAGGGGGCGAGCGUUGUCCGGAUUCAUUGGGCGUAAAGGGUGCGUAGGCGGCGCGGUAAGUCGGGUGUGAAAUCUCGGAGCUUAACUCCGAAACUGCAUUCGAUACUGCCGUGCUUGAGGACUGGAGAGGAGACUGGAAUUUACGGUGUAGCGGUGAAAUGCGUAGAUAUCGUAAGGAAGACCAGUGGCGAAGGCGGGUCUCUGGACAGUUCCUGACGCUGAGGCACGAAGGCCAGGGGAGCAAACGGG
rnacentral:rRNA from 1 species